CCUCCAUCUCGGCCUCCUGCUCUGGCCAUCGACAGCUGAGCGCCAUCUCCUUCUCCAACGCCUUCACAUAGGUCGAUGAGAAGGGCUCGGCUGGGGCGCCAUUGAGCCCGUGAUCCUGCGCCACUUCUUCCAGCUUCCUCACGGAGGUUGGCGAGGAGGAGAUCGGUCGAUGUUCCAUCGAGGCCUCUAGGGCGACGACGACAAGGCCUUGGUGCCGCUGACGGCCACAGGCCACGACAUCACCAGAACUCGCCAUCCCAGGACCUGUGGAGGGCGAAUUGGUCGGAGCAGACCAACAUAUGUGCUCUUGUGGAUAGGGCUCACCUGGUGGACAGCGGCCGGCCGGUCGCGAGGGAGGUGGUGGCGUCGCGCCUCUGAUCUUCGGAUCGAUGGAAGGGACGCAUAUAGAGGAAGAGACGGAAGGGAGGCGGCCGGGCCCUGCCAGCAGGUGAGGUAGCUGCUACGGAGGAACGACCUAGGCCGUCUCGUCGCAACGUUCCGCGCCCAGGAAUCCACCGUUGAGCUCCUGGAGCUCAAGCGGGAGCACGCACGGCGCCUCACUGUAUGUCUGCUGGAUGUCACCGACCGACAUCACCAUUGAGAUCUCUGGCUGCCGAUUCCAGUAUGAGGGCGAACAAGAGACCAAGGUCGACCAGGGACGGGAGCAGGAUUAGCGUACAGAGAUGGGAAUUUUUUCAUUCAGUGAGAGUUAUAAAUCCUAAUUUUACUAUAAUCAGACAAGCUCUUUGCUAAUACAAUGAUCGACGCUACAAUGGUUUCACUGUAUAUGAUAUAUUACAGUAUUAAGGCUACCAAUUUAAUGUACAUGAAAACAUAAUCUAUGACAAAAUUGAUUCAUGCCAUUGUUCAGUGCUCUUUUCACCCUUUGUAUGUCAAGUUCAUUAAUAAAUGUAUAGUGAGGUAUUUGCUGCCACUUACUAUCUGUAAAGGAGAGUUCGGUGUUUCCAUCGAGCCAGUUACACCCUAGACUAAUUUAGCCAGUUAUGAUCAAGAUAGAAAUAUACACUGAUUGUUGUACUCCCUCCGUCUCAUGAAACUUGUCUUAAGUUUGUCCAAAUUUGGAUGUAUAUAGAUGCUAAAUUUGUCUUAAGUUUGUCCAAAUUUGGAUGUAUCUAGAUGCUAAAUAGUGUCUAGAUACAUCUAAAUUUAGACAAACUUAAGACAAGUUUUAUAGAAUGGAGGGAGUAUCAUCACGUAAGGUGUAGCUGUAGGUUAAUCGCAUCAUUUCCUUUUUUCAUGUAGCUGGCCACGGGUAUCAACCAGAUGAUCAAGAGUAAGUACUGGUGUAUACUGAACAUCUAUGGCCUAUGGGGAAUUCAGGUAACACUGCCUCGAAUCUGCUAGACUAGACUGGCGGACACCUUUUGAUUUAUGAAAGGAAUCUCUUUAGGCUUUUUUCUUUGUUUUAUAUCCACAAAUCUUUAAAGUUGGUUUUAUAUCCACAAAUCAGUCAAUUUUCUGAUUUAUGUGGAGUACUGACAUGAUUCAGUAAAUGCUGCCAAAUUGAUAUGUUCUUAUUUCUCGAGGAAUAUGAAAAAUCGCUGUGCAUGGUGAUCGUUACAUGAAGAAGCACGUGCAUGGGCAGCGAUCUGCCUCUUGAGAAGCCCGGCAUGUCAGUCUUCUUAUUCGGGCAGCUCUUAAGACAUGAUUCAGAUAAGAAAUUGCACGUGUGCCAGUAAUGUAUGUUCUUUGUUUCAGGCUCUUGAACUCUAUGCACUGCUGACCGAGUUUAUUUAUAAUAGGUAAUGCGUGAUCAAAAUGGUGUCAGCAAGGGGCCGGGCUUUGUUUCUUUUUCUACCCGCGAGGAAGCAUCUCAGGUUGUAAGUAUGUUUUCUGAAUGUCGUGUCGUCUGUUGUGUCUCUGGCGUGAUCAAAAUGUAAGUAUGUUUUCAACAUGCCACACAACUCUGACGGUGUCGAGGACGUGAACAGCCACAACACCAGUUUGGCAACGUUUCACCACUCGGCAGCCCAUCAGAUGGCGGCCGACGCCAUCCCUUUUCACAUGAAAAAAGGAACGCAUCCUCCUCUCCUGCAUCAAGCCAUCAACCGUGCAUAACAGAUUCAUCUACGAAAUCUGAAUUCAGUAGGUGGCACUAGAGAGGUCUCAAGAUUUCAUAGGUUCGCCCGUUAUCUAGAAAGGGAACCAUUGCAGCAAUCAGUGCCAACUACCAGUUAGGCAUCCCGAGGAUGAGCACCAGUGUUAUGGAAAUUAAGGACCAUCUUGUAUUUUAGGUUUUCCAGUUAGUGGCAACACAGUGGUAAAAUAAAGUUAUUAACAACACACACGAAUAGAUUGGCUAUCUUGGCCAAGCGACAUAUUGCAACAAGUGAACUUUGUCCACUUCGUAAUUCCGAACCUGAAGAUGUAAUGCAUAUGGCGUUCAAAUGCCAAGGUGCUGCUAGCAUGUGGUCUGUCCUGGGUAUUACAAACUAUAUUAAUGAUGCUAUGAUUGAGGAUCGGUUAGGCUCACAAGUUCUUGAAGCCCUUCUCAAAUCAAGCGCAACAUAUGUCCUAGGAUAUGAUUCUAUCAAACUACAGGAAAUGAUUGCAAUUGGGGUGUGGUACAUAUGAUGGUUGCGCCGCAGACAAACACUUGGUGACCAGGUACUUCCAAUCCAUAAUUGUGUUACCUCUAUCAGAGCUAUAGCUUCAAAUGCUGCAAGGGCCAACCUACCAGGUACAUUGAUUAAGAAGGUAUGGAUGAAGCCAAGGGCAAACUUUGUAAUAUUAAAUGCAAAUGCAGCCUUCUUGAUGGAAGAUCAGUCGGGAGUGAUCCUUCAUGAUGGUCAUGGUUCUUUUAUCGCGGUUAGAUCAAUAUUUAUUUCACAUGUUACUUCCGCAACUAUGGCUGAAGCAGUAGGUAUGCUUAAUGGUUUAGCCUUUGCUAAUUAUCUGGGAUGUAACGUCGUUGAUGUCAAAUCUGAUUUAAGUAAAGUUAUACAUUAUUGCACGGGAGAUGCCAGAAUUUCGAAUGAAGCCACUGCUACUUAUGUCGAUAUAUUGAGACAAGCAGACAUUGGCAAGGUGGAGUUCAAACAUUGUGGGAGAGAGACAAAUACAACUGCACAUUAAAUAGCUAGGGUUUGUUUUGCUACUCAUUCAUCAUGUAAUUGGGUCGGUGAGCCCCCUAGCUUCUUACUUCAAACUCUCCCAAAUGAUGUAACAAUACUUUGAUAUCAGAGCAGCAAGUUUUAGACGCA